AAGGGAUGGUGUGGUGAAGCACCCCAGGAUAGCAGUGGUAAGAAAGUACUGUCACCCUCUAGGCCUGGAGGCACAGAAGUAGACAGUUUCUGCUGAAAUCUGGUGAGAACUGCAGCUCUAGGAUAAAGUGGCCUGGGAGGUGCUUAACAUUUAUCAAAGGAAUGAAGCCACUGCCAACUUGUAGGAAGGUGAAGUCCACGGGGACAGCGGGGUGCACACACAAGCAGAGGAGAUAGGUGCAGUAUACAGUCCUCAGUUUCUUGCGAUGCAUUUGCAUAUAAUGUCAGACGAUGCCACAUGAACACAGAAUUCUGAUGGACCAGAGACGUGUGGGAGUUCAGUGAGACUCAAAGCCAUUACAAGUUUCACUUAACUCACAGGGUGCCUGCACCCAGCACUUCAGACCAGAGUUCCUAAUGCAAAAUGGCUGCGCCUGACACUUAAACUCGGUAUGCUAGGUGCAGAAACGCUGUGCACAACACUUUAAGAUGGCAGUGGCCGACCAGGCGCAGACGUGCCACACCUGGCAUUUGGAUCUGGAGCCAUGAGCAGCAGCACAAGAACUCCGUUCUCCAAGAACCCUAUAAAGCAGCCCUGCCAACGGCCGUUUGGAAAAAAACAUGUACUCUUGAGCUCAAGCUUGCACUUCUCCAUUUGAUCAUCAAAGAAUAAAACUUUGCUUUGCUUCUGAA
ensembl:lncRNA